rnacentral:tRNA from 1 species
GCAGUCGCGGCAGAGUGGUUAAGGCGAUGGACUAGAAAUCCAUGGGCUCCCCCCACAGGCUCGAAUCCUGUGGACUGCG